rnacentral:tRNA from 1 species
GGAGGCGUAGUCUAAUUGGUAAGGCACCGCACUCGAAAUGCGGCGGGCGAAAGCCCUUGGGGGUUCGAGUCCCCCCGCCUCCG